UACGUAGGGGGCAAGCGUUGUCCGGAAUUAUUGGGCGUAAAGCGCGCGCAGGCGGUUCUUUUAAGUCUGAUGUGAAAGCCCACGGCUCAACCGUGGAGGGUCAUUGGAAACUGGAGAACUUGAGUACAGAAGAGGAAAGCGGAAUUCCACGUGUAGCGGUGAAAUGCGUAGAGAUGUGGAGGAACACCAGUGGCGAAGGCGGCUUUCUGGUCUGUAACUGACGCUGAGGCGCGAAAGCGUGGGGAGCAAACAGG
rnacentral:rRNA from 1 species